rnacentral:rRNA from 1 species
CGGAGCUAACGCGUUAAGCGUGCCGCCUGGGGAGUACGGUCGCAAGAUUAAAACUCAAAGAAAUUGACGGGGACCCGCACAAGCGGUGGAGUAUGUGGCUUAAUUCGAUGCAACGCGAAGAACCUUACCUGGGCUUGACAUGUAAUGAACAACAUGUGAAAGCAUGCGACUCUUCGGAGGCGUUACACAGGUGCUGCAUGGCCGUCGUCAGCUCGUGUCGUGAGAUGUUUGGUUAAGUCCAGCAACGAGCGCAACCCCUGUUGCCAGUUACCAGCACGUGAAGGUGGGGACUCUGGCGAGACUGCCCAGAUCAACUGGGAGGAAGGUGGGGACGACGUCAGGUCAGUAUGGCCCUUAUGCCCAGGGCUGCACACGUACUACAAUGCCCAGUACAGAGGGGGCCGAAGCCGCGAGGCGGAGGAAAUCCUGAAAACUGGGCCCAGUUCGGACUGUAGGCUGCAACCCGCCUACACGAAGCCGGAAUCGCUAGUAAUGGCGCAUCAGCUACGGCGCCGUGAAUACGUUCCCGGGUCUUGUACACACCGCCCGUCACAUCAUGGAAGCCGGUCGCACCCGAAGUAUCUGAAGCCAACCGCAAGGAGGCAGGGUCCUAAGGUGAGACUGGUAACUGGGAUGAAGUCGUAACAAGUAACC